rnacentral:rRNA from 1 species
CCUCCGUAGGGUGAACCUGCGGAGGGAUCRUURCCGWGYKKMYARCUCCCAAACCCAAUGUGAACGUUACCAAACUGUUGCCUCGGCGGGAUCUCUGCCCCGGGUGCGUCGCAGCCCCGGACCAAGGCGCCCGCCGGAGGACCAACCAAAACUCUUUUUGUAUACCCCCUCGCGGGUUUUUUAUAAUCUGAGCCUUCUCGGCGCCUCUCGUAGGCGUUUCGAAAAUGAAUCAAAACUUUCAACAACGGAUCUCUUGGUUCUGGCAUCGAUGAAGAACGCAGCGAAAUGCGAUAAGUAAUGUGAAUUGCAGAAUUCAGUGAAUCAUCGAAUCUUUGAACGCACAUUGCGCCCGCCAGUAUUCUGGCGGGCAUGCCUGUCCGAGCGUCAUUUCAACCCUCGAACCCCUCCGGGGGGUCGGCGUUGGGGAUCGGCCCUGCCUUGGCGGUGGCCGUCUCCGAAAUACAGUGGCGGUCUCGCCGCAGCCUCUCCUGCGCAGUAGUUUGCACACUCGCAUCGGGAGCGCGGCGCGUCCACAGCCGUUAAACACCCAACUUCUGAAAUGUUGACCUCGGAUCAGGUAGSARUACCCRYUGAWYUUWAGCAUAUCAAUAAGCGGAGGA